UACGUAGGGGGCAAGCGUUGUCCGGAGUUAUUGGGCGUAAAGAGCGUGUAGGCGGUUUGGUAGGUCCGCUGUGAAAACUCGAGGCUCAACCUCGAGACGCCGGUGGAAACCAUCAGACUAGAGUCCGGAAGAGGAGAGUGGAAUUCCUGGUGUAGCGGUGAAAUGCGCAGAUAUCAGGAAGAACACCCGUGGCUAAGGCGGCUCUCUAGUACGGUACUGACGCUGAGACGCGAAAGCGUGGGGAGCGAACAGG
rnacentral:rRNA from 1 species